UAGGGAAUCCUCGGCAAUGGGGGCAACCCUGACCGAGCAACGCCGCGUGAGUGAAGAAGGUUUUCGGAUCGUAAAGCUCUGUUGUAAGUCAAGAACGAGUGUGAGAGUGGAAAGUUCACACUGUGACGGUAGCUUACCAGAAAGGGACGGCUAACUACGUGCCAGCAGCCGCGGUAAUACGUAGGUCCCGAGCGUUGUCCGGAUUUAUUGGGCGUAAAGCGAGCGCAGGCGGUUUGAUAAGUCUGAAGUUAAAGGCUGUGGCUCAACCAUAGUUCGCUUUGGAAACUGUCAAACUUGAGUGCAGAAGGGGAGAGUGGAAUUCCAUGUGUAGCGGUGAAAUGCGUAGAUAUAUGGAGGAACACCGGUGGCGAAAGCGGCUCUCUGGUCUGUAACUGACGCUGAGGCUCGAAAGCGUGGGGAGCGAACAGGAUUAGAUACCCUGGUAGUCCACGCCGUAAACGAUGAGUGCUAGGUGUUGGAUCCUUUCCGGGAUUCAGUGCCGCAGCUAACGCAUUAAGCACUCCGCCUGGGGAGUACNACCGCAAGGNU
rnacentral:rRNA from 1 species